UACGUAGGGUGCGAGCGUUAAUCGGAAUUACUGGGCGUAAAGCGUGCGCAGGCGGCUAUGCAAGACAGAUGUGAAAUCCCCGGGCUCAACCUGGGAAUUGCAUUUGUGACUGCAUGGCUAGAGUACGGCAGAGGGGGAUGGAAUUCCGGCGUGUAGCAGUGAAAUGCGUAGAUAUCGAGAGGAACACCAGUGCGGAAGGCGAGUCCCUGGACAACACCUGACACUGAGGCACGAAAGCUAGGGGAGCAAACAGG
rnacentral:rRNA from 1 species